GACGAACGCUGGCGGCGUGCUUAACACAUGCAAGUCGAACGGUAAGGCCCUUCGGGGUACACGAGUGGCGAACGGGUGAGUAACACGUGGGUGAUCUGCCCUGCACUUCGGGAUAAGCCUGGGGAACUGGGUCUAAUACCGGAUAGGACCACUGCCUGCAUGGGUGGUGGUGGAAAGCUUUUGCGGUGUGGGAUGGGCCCGCGGCCUAUCAGCUUGUUGGUGGGGUGAUGGCCUACCAAGGCGACGACGGGUAGCCGGCCUGAGAGGGUGACCGGCCACACUGGGACUGAGAUACGGCCCAGACUCCUACGGGAGGCAGCAGUGGGGAAUAUUGCACAAUGGGCGCAAGCCUGAUGCAGCGACGCCGUGUGAGGGAUGACGGCCUUCGGGUUGUAAACCUCUUUCAGCACCGACGAAGCGCAAGUGACGGUAGGUGCAGAAGAAGGACCGGCCAACUACGUGCCAGCCGCCGCAGUAA
rnacentral:rRNA from 1 species